UGGGCGAAGGCGGCGAGCACCAUGAGAUGCUCUUCUUCCUGGACGUCGGCCUCGGCUUCCUCCUCCAGCAGCGCGGCGAGCGCUUCCUCGUCAUCCGAGUCCAUCGCCGAGGCAGGCAAAUCACCGAACACCUUGCGCCCGGUGGGCAUGUACGCGCCGCUAAACUGCCCCUCCGUGACCGGAAACGCCCAGCUGCUGUUGGAGGGGCUCCCGCGGCGAAGCUCUGCUAUUUUUCCGGCGUGAAAUGACUAUCUAGUGGUGAAAGGCGGCGGGCGGCGCCGGGAUAUAGCUACUGGCGGCCGAGGGCGCGAGGGGUGGGAGACGAGUCGGGGAAGAAAACCUUGGCUUUUCCCCUGACAGCGUGGGCCAGCCGCGCUUUUCCCUUGCGGCGGAGCCCCCAACUGCCCCCAGUGCGCCGGGUUCGGCAUGUGACCGCCGAGCGGAAAAAAGGGCCGAACCGGCAUUUUUCGGCGUCCUGGGGGCGCGAUUAGGACAUUUUUUUAGUGCCGGCACUAAAAAAAUGACCUAGAGAAGCCUAUUGGGGACACGGCUGGAGCUUUUAUAGGUUUUCCGGACCAAACCCUCUUGUCCAUCCCACGCACCAGGUAGGAACAACACACCACAGUCCACAAGGCGCGCCCGCAUCUACACUCGCACUAAAAGCAGCAAAUGCUCACUACGCUAACGCCUACCUUGUGCGCUUUACUGCUCCAUUUACUCCCGCAGAGAGAGAAGCUAGUUAAUGGCCGCCAGCGAGAGAAACGAGUCUUCGGCGGCGCCAUUGCUGGCAGCAGCGAGGGAGAGAAAACUCUGCAAGGAAGGGUGCCCAGGAUGCAGGCUGGACGAGAUCAACAAGAGCAAGACCGGCAUCCCCUACCUCAACUUCUUCUACGUGUGGGUCGUCUGUCUCUGCGCCGGUUAGUGCGCCCCUCCCUUUCUUCUCCUCCACCUUGUUUGAGUUUCUUGUUUCCAGCAUGGGUCCAGCUCCAGCCUCCAGCGUUCUGGAUGUAGGACGCGUACGCCGUUUCUUCCGUUCGUACUCUUUGUCUACUACUCCCUCCUUUCCUAAAGUUUUUGUAGAGAUUUUACUAUGAACUACAUACGACUACAAUGAAAUCUUUACGGAGACUUAUAUUUAAAAACGGAGGGAGUAGAAUACAUCAACACCUGUACUUUUUUGUUCUAUAAUACAUUAAUGUUUCCCUA